rnacentral:rRNA from 1 species
CCUACGGGGGGCAGCAGUGGGGGAUAUUGCACAAUGGGGGGAACCCUGAUGCUGCGACGCCGCGUGGGUGAAGAAGCGCCUCGGCGCGUAAAGCCCUGUCAGCAGGGAAGAAAAUGACGGUACCUGAAGAAGAAGCCACGGCUAACUACGUGUCAGCAGCCGCGGUAAUACGGAGGGGGCAAGCGUUAUCCGGAUUUACUGGGUGUGAAGGGGGCGCAGACGGCGGUGCAAGCCAGGCGUGAAAGCCCGGGGCGCAACCCCGGGACUGCACUUGGUACUGAGUGGCUAGAGUGCAGGAGGGGCAGGCGGAAUUCGUGGUGUAGCGGUGAAAUGCGUAGAUAUCAGGAGGAACACCGGUGGCGAAGGCGGCUUCCUGGACUUCAACUGACGUUGAGGCCCGAAAGCGUGGGGAGCGAACAGGAUUAGAUACCCUUGUAGUC